AUUGAACGCUGGCGGCAUGCUUUACACAUGCAAGUCGAACGGUAACAGGUCUUCGGAUGCUGACGAGUGGCGAACGGGUGAGUAAUGCAUCGGAACGUGCCCAGUCGUGGGGGAUAACGCAGCGAAAGCUGUGCUAAUACCGCAUACGAUCUAUGGAUGAAAGCGGGGGAUCGCAAGACCUCGCGCGAUUGGAGCGGCCGAUGUCAGAUUAGCUAGUUGGUGGGGUAAAGGCCCACCAAGGCGACGAUCUGUAGCUGGUCUGAGAGGACGACCAGCCACACUGGGACUGAGACACGGCCCAGACUCCUACGGGAGGCAGCAGUGGGGAAUUUUGGACAAUGGGCGCAAGCCUGAUCCAGCAAUGCCGCGUGCAGGAAGAAGGCCUGG
rnacentral:rRNA from 1 species